rnacentral:tRNA from 1 species
AUCUUCUUAGUACUAAGUAGUACAAGUGAUUUCCACUCACACAGUCUCGGUUUAAACCCGAGAGAAGAUA